rnacentral:rRNA from 1 species
GACGAACGCUGGCGGCGUGCCUAAUACAUGCAAGUGGGACGCAAGGAAACACACUGUGCUUGCACACCGUGUUUUCUUGAGUCGCGAACGGGGGAGGAACGCGUAGGUAACCUGCCUAUUAGCGGGGGGUAAAUAUUGGAAACGAUAGCUAAUACCGCAUAAUAUUAAUUAUUGCAUGGUAAUUUAUUGAAAGAUGCAAGCGCAUCACUAGUAGAUGGACCUGCGUUGUAUUAGCUAGUUGGUAAGGUAAGAGCUUACCAAGGCGACGAUACAUAGCCGACCUGAGAGGGUGAUCGGCCACACUGGGACUGAGACACGGCCCAGACUCCUACGGGAGGCAGCAGUAGGGAAUCUUCGGCAAUGGGCGAAAGUCUGACCGAGCAACGCCGCGUGAGUGAAGAAGGUUUUCGGAUCGUAAAGCUCUGUUGUAAGUCAAGAACGUGUGUGAGAGUGGAAAGUUCACACAGUGACGGUAGCUUACCAGAAAGGGACGGCUAACUACGUG